rnacentral:rRNA from 1 species
ACGCUCGACACCUACGGGAGGCUGCAGUGGGGAAUAUUGCACAAUGGGGGAAACCCUGAUGCAGCGACGCCGCGUGGAGGAAGAAGGUCUUCGGAUUGUAAACUCCUGUUGUUGGGGAAAAAGAGGAUGGUACCCAACAAGGAAGUGACGGCUAACUACGUGCCAGCAGCCGCGGUAAUCUGAGCGGGCUGGCAAGGC